UUCCUGCCAAAUACAUGCAAUAGCAAUAAUAGCUGACAUUUAUGCAUUGCCUUAAGACGGUGUAGAAUCAUUACUUUAUAACAACCCUGCACAUCAAAUAGAAGUAUCCUUUCCUCCACAUUAAAGAUGUGAAAACUAAUGCUGAGAGAAGUGACGUCAUGCGUAAAUCACCAUAUCAGAACCACAAUGCACUUCCGGGUCUCUGAAGUUAGCCCUUCUAUCACUUCCUCAAAUCUCCUAAUGGAGUCUCACCUAAUAGGAUCUUCAUGGUUAAGCACCAAACGUAGACGGUCGCUAGGCUGAGGGGACUAGAGAUUUGUCCAAGGAGGCCGGGGCAGGACAAUGACAGAACUCCAUGCCUACAGUAUAAAAAUAACAGAAUUUAAUCAGGAAACUGAGGCAUGCAGGGUGCAGUGGCCUGGCGAGUCAGUAUCUGAGGCCAGAUUUCAGACCUUCACUCAAUCUACCGUGUCCUCUAGCUGCCCCAAGAUUGUUCGUGAUAGUUCUGAACAGAACACGGGUUCAUUGUCUGAAUGUGAGCAUGACUUAAAAUGUACUGAGUGGGAUAAGGGCAGCAGUUCUUCUAGACCAGGCCUCUCCUCACCUGCUGGGUGCCGAUUACUCUUUACUUGGAUGGCAGCAAGGGCAAAGGAUGGUGUGACCCUCCCUGAGGGAAACCCAGGCUCCGAGGACUUCCCCAGCAUAUUCAACGGUUUUCCACAAUGGCCCCCAACUGAGAGUGUCAAAUAAGGAGACUUGGGCCUUUGCUAUAGCUUCCGUCUACAGGAAGGAACAAGAAGAUAAAAAAAAUUCAGAGAAUGAGCAGGAUUUAAACCGGGAGCAGGAAAGAGAAGUUAUAAUGAAUGUCCUGGUAGGUUCAAUUGCAGUUGAGGGCAAUAAUGCAAAAACAUUACUAUAUUCAUCGUAAGAGAUGGCAAAUAUUUUUAAAGUUUUGUUUGUGAUAAAUACCUGUAGAAUGGAAAAUCUUUAGUCAAAUUUGAGCUCUUUAAGGAAAAAGACUCCUUCAUUUUUGUCCAGUUCCCAACCCUGGAAUAAAUAAUAUGAACUUACUAAAUAUCUAUUGAAU
rnacentral:lncRNA from 1 species